ACGGUGUUCCGCUGCAGCCAUAGUCGCUGGCAUGAGCAUCUG
rfam:Paenisporosarcina sp. HGH0030 genomic scaffold acAqH-supercont1.1, whole genome shotgun sequence.